CCAGUCUCUGCAGCCCCCGGAGGCGCUCCUACCCAUCCCGCUGCCCCCCGCAGGGCGGACGCCGCCAUUGGAGCCUGCGCACUGCGAUCCGGGAGCUUUGCUCUGCCCUGCGCGCCCGCGGGGCUGGCAGCGUCCGAGGGUGCUGCCUUGCUCCCUCCGGGAAGGCCGCGGCCACCGGGGGUUGCACCGCGCCACCGCCCCGCCUGCGCUCUGAUGGGCCUGGCGGAGCCGGCGCCAUGGCCGCCUUGUAUCAGAGCGCGGACCCGUCCGCCUCGGCCUCGCCGAACAAGCUGCUGGCGCUGAAGGAUGUGCGACAGGUGAAGGAGGAGACCACUCUGGACGAGAAGCUCUUCCUGCUGGCCUGCGACAAAGGUGACUAUUACAUGGUUAAGAAACUCUUAGAAGAAAACAGCUCGGGCGAAAUGAACAUAAAUUGUGUGGAUGUGCUUGGACGAAAUGCUGUUACCAUAACUAUUGAAAAUGAAAACUUGGACAUACUACAGCUUCUUUUGGAUUAUGGCUGCCAGUCAUCAGAUGCACUUUUGGUGGCUAUUGAUUCGGAAGUGGUGGGAGCUGUUGAUAUUCUACUUAAUCAUCGACCAAAAAGAUCUUCCAGACCAACCAUUGUAAAAUUAAUGGAACGCAUUCAGAACCCAGAGUACUCAACGACCAUGGAUGUGGCACCUGUCAUUUUAGCAGCUCAUCGCAACAACUAUGAAAUUCUCACCAUGCUGUUAAAGCAAGAUAUAUCAUUACCCAAACCUCAUGCUGUAGGCUGUGAAUGCACACUGUGUACUGCAAAGAACAAAAAAGAUAGUCUACGACAUUCAAGGUUUCGCCUUGACAUUUAUCGGUGUUUGGCUAGUCCAGCUUUAAUAAUGUUGACAGAGGAGGAUCCGAUCCUGCGAGCUUUUGAACUCAGUGCAGACUUGAAAGAAUUAAGCCUUGUUGAGGUUGAAUUCAGAAAUGAUUAUGAGGAGCUAGCUCAACAGUGCAAAACCUUUGCUAAAGAUUUGCUUGCACAAGCACGGAAUUCACGGGAGCUGGAAGUUAUUCUGAAUCACACAUCUAGUGAUGAACAUGUAGACAAGCGAGGAUUGUUGGAAGAGAGGAUGAACUUAAGCCGCUUAAAACUUGCAAUCAAGUAUAAUCAAAAAGAGUUUGUUGCUCAGUCUAACUGCCAGCAGUUUCUGAACACUGUAUGGUUUGGACAGAUGGCAGGAUAUCGACGCAAGCACACAUGCAAGAAGAUUUUGACUGUUUUGAUGGUUGGCAUUUUCUGGCCAGUUCUGUCCCUGUGUUACUUGUUAGCUCCUAAGUCUCGAGUAGGUCGAAUAAUUCACACUCCUUUUAUGAAGUUUAUUAUUCAUGGAGCUUCAUAUUUCACAUUUCUGUUAUUACUUAAUUUGUACUCCCUUGUCUACAAUGAGAAUAAGAAGAAUACAAUGGGUCCAGCUCUUGAGAGAAUAGACUAUCUUCUGAUAAUAUGGCUAAUUGGAAUGGUGUGGUCAGAUGUUAAAAGACUCUGGUAUGAUGGUUUAGAAGACUUUUUAGAAGAAUCCCGUAAUCAGCUUAGUUUUGUCAUGAAUUCCCUGUAUUUGGCAACUUUUGCGCUCAAAGUUGUUGCCCAUAACAAGUUUCAUGAUUACGCUGAAAGGAAGGACUGGGAUGCAUUCCACCCUACUCUCGUGGCAGAAGGUCUUUUUGCUUUUGCGAAUGUUCUCAGUUAUCUGCGUCUCUUUUUCAUGUACACAACCAGCUCUAUUCUGGGACCACUCCAGAUUUCAAUGGGGCAGAUGCUACAAGAUUUUGGAAAAUUUCUGGGCAUGUUUCUUCUUGUCUUGUUCUCAUUCACAAUUGGAUUGACACAACUUUAUGAUAAAGGAUUUACUGUAAAUGAAGAGAAGGACUGUGCGGGUAUUUUCUGUGAACAACAGAGCAAUGACACAUUCCAUUCGUUUAUUGGCACAUGUUUUGCUCUGUUCUGGUAUAUAUUCUCCCUGGCACAUGUAGCAAUCUUUGUCACACGUUUUAGCUAUGGUGAAGAACUGCAGUCUUUUGUGGGCGCUGUUAUUGUUGGUACUUACAACGUGGUGGUUGUGAUAGUGUUAACUAAACUCCUUGUGGCAAUGCUUCAUAAAAGUUUUCAGCUGAUAGCAAAUCAUGAAGAUAAGGAAUGGAAGUUUGCUCGUGCCAAGCUUUGGCUUAGCUACUUUGAUGACAAAUGCACGCUACCUCCGCCUUUCAAUGUUAUUCCCUCUCCCAAGACUAUCUGUUAUCUUUUCAACAGUCUCAGUAAAUGGAUCUGCUCUCAUACAUCAAGUGGCAAAGUGAAACGUCAGAACAGUUUAAAGAAUAACAUAAAAUAAACUAAAUUCAAAGACUUUAUGGAAUGUGCGCUGAUAGACAUGCAGGAUUAUGGACAUCUUAAUUGCUCAUAGUUCAAUAACCAAGUCAGGAAUGGAGAAAUCUGAAGCAAAAGAGAGAUGAGAAUUAUCAAAAGGUGAUGUGUUGCUUAGUCCACCGUUACUUGACUUCCAUGAGACAGAAGAUGCAAAGCACAGAUCAGGCAACUGUGGAAAACCUAAAUGAACUGCGGCAAGACUUGUCAAAAUUCCGAAAUGAAAUGAGAGACCUGCUUGGCUUUCGAACUUCUAAAUAUGCUAUGUUUUAUCCGAGAAACUAAGGCCUAACUUUUAAACAAAAAGUGUGUACUUUUAGAUACUUAUAGGUGAAAGUGUUGAUCUGAUUCUUUGGCCAGACCAAAUAGAAGAUUACUGUGCAAAAAUACAUUUGAAAAUGUGCUUGCAUGAGUUGCAGCUAAAUGUGGAAGUGGUGUAAAUAAGUGCAAAACCAGAUACAGUAAUUUUCUUCAGCUCUCUUAGCGUGUAUAUAAAAUUUGUAUAUAGGAGUUUUUUUAAUGUUCCUCAGACUGUGGCUGUCAGGUGUCAGAGCUUUGUAACUAGCACAGUGUGUUUAUUUCUUCUAUUUUUGCUGUUUCUCCCUUUUUGAUACUUGCUUUUGAAGUUGUGGAAGAAAAUAGGCUUUUUAAAAGAAAAAUCCAGCCUAUGUUUAUUUUUAAUAGAAAAGUCAGAUAUAGAAUAAUAGAAAAUUUCCAGCACAGUUGGAAAUUAUGUUUGACUGUAGGUUACAGUGCAUGUGAAGACUGUGGCUCUGAAAGAGGCAGUUCUAGUGCCAAGUUUUGUAUGUUGACAUUGACUGUAUACUAAUAUUUAUAGCAUACAGAAAAUCAAAUCAUCAAGAUUCUUCCCUUUUGUGGGCACAUUGAAAUUUUGAACUCAAAAUAGACCAACCAUUUCUUGAAUGUUUAUGGCUGUAUGUAUGACAAUCAAUUCCUGCUUGAGUUUUUCAGCUGUGCCUCAGAAGUACAUUUUACUGUACGUGUUAAGAUUUGGAACAGAAUUUUAAAACUUAUAAUGUUUAAUAUCUUGGGGGUUUAAAAUCAGGAUGAUUAAUUAUUUGAAUUAUUAAAACCUGUGAUUUAAUGAAAAAGAGGUGGAGCAUGUGAGUGCUGUUGUUUGCAAUGCUGAACAAUUCCUUUGAACCACUGUACACAUUUCUGUGAGAACAUACAUUGAAUCUGGUCACUGGGCAGAUGUAAUUUAGAAAGGCCUGCCUUAGACAGGUUUUCCAUAUCCUAGUUUUACACUUGUCUUUCUUUUUUCAUUUGUUUUACCACAAUUUUUGCCAAGCUAAACAUUUUGUGUGUUUGUGUGUCAGGAAUACUAUGUUUUGUGAAAACAGGUGAUUUGACUUUGCUUACAAUGAACAGUAAGGGCUUUGUGGUUUUUCUGUGCUGGGGGGUCCUAUAUGGCUUUAUAUGCUUAUAUAUAAUUCACGUUGACAAAUUGUAAGUGAGAAAUGUGAGAUUCCUGUAUUUUUCAUUAUGAAAUGAGUAUAUAUAUGGCAGCUUAAGGAUUGAUUGACAAUUUUACCGUUACGAUGGUGCUCUUCUAAAAUGAUCUUAUGUCCAGAAGGUGCAGGUAGCCAUAGUGGUCUUUGACUGCAGUUGAUUUUGAGAGGUUAUAUAAGUGGAGGCUUACAUGAAUGUUUACUUUUUUGAAGGAAUUCUUAUAAAACUUUCUUGUAAAGGUAAUAUAUUUUCUGUACUAUGAAAUUAUGUAUUUCUGAACUGCUUCCAGAAGUCUUAUAGUAGAGAGGGAUUCUAAUAAGUGUUGGCUUUUUGUGUGAAUAAGAAGCUAACCUCUUGUGUUCAAAGCGAAGAGGAUCACUGAAUUUUGUAUUUGGACUUAAAUCUUAUGUUUGAAUAAUACACCAACAUAAAAACUGUAUGCUGUGUAUGUUACAUAUAUCCAAGAAAGGAAGCAGUCCAAUAAAAGCUCUUUGAAAAAUA